CACGUAGGGUGCGAGCGUUGUCCGGAAUUAUUGGGCGUAAAGAGCUCGUAGGCGGUGUGUCGCGUCGGCCGUGAAAACCUGCAGCUUAACUGUGGGCGUGCGGUCGAUACGGGCAUCACUGGAGUUCGGCAGGGGAGACUGGAAUUCCAGGUGUAGCGGUGAAAUGCGUAGAUAUCUGGAGGAACACCGGUGGCGAAGGCGGCAUCCUGGACCGGUAUUGACGCUGAGGCGCGAAAGCCAGGGGAGCAAACGGG
rnacentral:rRNA from 1 species